UGGCUUGCAGGUUAUGAUAUUCAGGUUUAAAUAAGUUUGUUGAAGGUGUUUAGGGUACCUUUUUUUAUACUAGAGAAUACAACAUAUUGUAGGAUGGAAAAGGUGUAUCAAUGGUUGAAAUUUGUGGUGUUUGAUAUUGUGAUGAUACGACAAAGAUUUUGUGUCAUGUUUUUGAAUGUUCAUUCUCAAUUCCUAAAGGUGUCAUCACAUAUUGGAUCUUCC
rnacentral:lncRNA from 1 species